UCUGUUCUCCCGCUAGUUUUUGCUCCGUAGGAUGGCGGAUCUGUACUGUUCUUAGCGUGGUUCCUCUGGAUUUGGUCGGCGGGUCUGACGAGCGUCCGCUUGGAUUUGUCGGAUCUGGCGUUCGCUCCGGCAACCUGCAGAACCUCGGCCUAAUCCACAUCCUCGACUACACCUGCAACGCCCUCCCUCCCAAAAACGACAAGGCCUUGAUUAUCAGCAAAUGCGAGGUUGCGUCCCAAGCGCUCGACGCCGAGAUCAUUAGCUAAGCCAAGAAACAAGAGGAGCUUGCGAUUGUCCUCAAGCCCAAGGACGAAGGCGUGGUUCUGUCCAAGCCCGCAAAUGCUCCCCUGCCUUGGGUGUUUUCUUUUCUUCUUUUUUGAAAUUUUUCUGAAAUAUAGAUGCAUGUGGGAUUGUAUUGAGUGUAUCAAUCUUGUAAUUGAUUCUUUGAAUGAUUUGUGAGAUUUAUGGAAUUUGUAUCGAUUGAUUUAAUAUUU